CCUACGGGAGGCAGCAGUGGGGAAUAUUGCGCAAUGGGCGAAAGCCUGACGCAGCGACGCCGCGUGAGGGAUGAAGGUCUUCGGAUCGUAAACCUCUGUCAGCAGGGAAGAACGGUCACUGUGCUAAUCAGCAGUGAAUUGACGGUACCUGACUAAGAAGCCCCGGCUAACUACGUGCCAGCAGCCGCGGUAAUACGUAGGGGGCAAGCGUUAUCCGGAUUUACUGGGUGUAAAGGGAGCGUAGGCGGGGCUGCAAGUCCGGGGUGAAAGCCCAUGGCUUAACCAUGGUACUGCUUUGGAAACUGUAUGGCUGGAGUGCAGGAGAGGUAAGUGGAAUUCCUAGUGUAGCGGUGAAAUGCGUAGAUAUUAGGAGGAACACCAGUGGCGAAGGCGGCUUACUGGACUGUAACUGACGUUGAGGCUCGAAAGCGUGGGGAGCAAACAGGAUUAGAUACCCUGGUAGUC
rnacentral:rRNA from 1 species